CGUAGUGCCGGAAAAAUUUGUCAAAAUCCGAUUCUUCCUCUUUUAACCGCCUCUACAACCCUUAUCCGACCCCUCUAGACUAUAUCCACCCUUUGUAUAGCCUAAUGUCAUCAAAAGACUAGAUAGGGAUGGAUAUUUACCUUUUUCUUUUUGAAAAUCGAGGUCCUUGCGUAGAGGGAAAGGAGAUCUACGUUUUUCCCUUCAGCUGGCAAUGCAACCGGAAUCUCCUUCCUCUUCCUUUCUUCCUUUCCUUUCCUCUUCCUUUCUUCCUUUCCUUUCCUCUCCUUCUUUUUCUUCCUCUCUGUCCGUCUGAGACUCCCUCUGUGACUCUCUCUCGGUUUCCAUCCAAAAGCCACAGCAAACCCCCUAAUUAAAUCACAUCAAAACACUAUUCACCCUUUGUUUAAUAUUAUUAAAUUCCCAUUUUGCCCCUAACACUUCAACAUAUCUACCAUUAUGCCAUUAACUUUUGAUUCCUUCCAAUUUUACCCCUACCACUUCAA
rnacentral:lncRNA from 1 species